rnacentral:rRNA from 1 species
CGGGACACGUGGUAUCCUGUCUGAAUAUGGGGGGACCAUCCUCCAAGGCUAAAUACUCCUGACUGACCGAUAGUGAACCAGUACCGUGAGGGAAAGGCGAAAAGAACCCCGGCGAGGGGAGUGAAAAAGAACCUGAAACCGUGUACGUACAAGCAGUGGGAGCACAGAGCAAUCUGUGUGACUGCGUACCUUUUGUAUAAUGGGUCAGCGACUUAUAUUCUGUAGCAAGGUUAACCGAAUAGGGGAGCCGAAGGGAAACCGAGUCUUAACUGGGCGUUAAGUUGCAGGGUAUAGACCCGAAACCCGGUGAUCUAGCCAUGGGCAGGUUGAAGGUUGGGUAACACUAACUGGAGGACCGAACCGACUAAUGUUGAAAAAUUAGCGGAUGACUUGUGGCUGGGGGUGAAAGGCCAAUCAAACCGGGAGAUAGCUGGUUCUCCCCGAAAGCUAUUUAGGUAGCGCCUCGUGAAUUCAUCUCCGGGGGUAGAGCACUGUUUCGGCAAGGGGGUCAUCCCGACUUACCAACCCGAUGCAAACUGCGAAUACCGGAGAAUGUUAUCACGGGAGACACACGGCGGGUGCUAACGUCCGUCGUGAAGAGGGAAACAACCCAGACCGCCAGCUAAGGUCCCAAAGUCAUGGUUAAGUGGGAAACGAUGUGGGAAGGCCCAGACAGCCAGGAUGUUGGCUUAGAAGCAGCCAUCAUUUAAAGAAAGCGUAAUAGCUCACUGGUCGAGUCGGCCUGCGCGGAAGAUGUAACGGGGCUAAACCAUGCAC